UGGCUCUCGCAUCGAUGAAGAACGCAGCGAAUUGCGAUAAGUAAUGUGAAUUGCAGAAUUCAGUGAAUCAUCGAAUCUUUGAACGCACCUUGCGCCCCGUGGUAUUCCGCGGGGCAUGCCUGUUUGAGUGUCACGUAAACCCUCACCCCAGUGGAUGUCAAAGUCUUGCUGACGGUGGACUUGGACCGUGCCGAGAAAUCGGCUCGUCCUGAAAUGCAUUAGCCUGGUCGGAGGACCGCAGUGGCCGUGGUGUGAUAAUCUAUCUGCGCCUGUAAGUGCCCGCUGAACCUCCUUGAUCGGCUCACAGUCGUCCGCGAGGACAAUACAACCUGACAGUUUGGCCUCAAAUCAGGUAGGACUACCCGCUGA
rnacentral:misc_RNA from 1 species